AUUGAACGCUGGCGGCGUGCCUAACACAUGCAAGUCGAGCGGCAGCGCGGGAGCAAUCCUGGCGGCGAGCGGCGGACGGGUGAGUAAUGCUUGGGAAUCUGCCUGUUAGUGGGGGACAACCCGGGGAAACUCGGGCUAAUACCGCAUACGCACUACGGUGGAAAGCCGGGGACCGCAAGGCCUGGCGCUAACAGAUGAGCCCAAGUCGGAUUAGCUAGUUGGUAGGGUAACGGCCACCAAGGCGACGAUCCGUAACUGGUCUGAGAGGACGACCAGUCACACCGGAACUGAGACACGGUCCGGACUCCUACGGGAGGCAGCAGUGGGGAAUAUUGGACAAUGGGGGAAACCCUGAUCCAGCGACGCCGCGUGGGUGAAGAAGGCCUGCGGGUUGUAAAGCCCUUUCAGUGGGGAAGAAAAGCCUCGACCUAACACGUCGGGGUCUUGACGUAACCCAUAGAAGAAGCACCGGCUAACUCUGUGCCAGCCGCCGCGGUAAC
rnacentral:rRNA from 1 species